rnacentral:rRNA from 1 species
AUACGAGGGGUGCAAGCGUUGUCCGGAAUUAUUGGGCGUAAAGCGCGUGUAGGCGGUUUCUUAAGUCUGAUGUGAAAGCCCCGGGCUCAACCUGGGAAGUGCAUUGGAAACUGGGGGACUUGAGUACGGGAGAGGGUAGUGGAAUUCCUAGUGUAGGAGUGUAAUCCGUAGAUAUUAGGAGGAACACCGGUGGCGAAGGCGGCUACCUGGACCGAUACUGACGCUGAGACGCGAAAGCGUGGGGAGC